rnacentral:misc_RNA from 1 species
GAUGAAGAACGUAGCGAAAUGCGAUAAGUAAUGUGAAUUGCAGAAUUCAGUGAAUCAUCGAAUCUUUGAACGCACAUUGCGCCCCUUGGUAUUCCGAGGGGCAUGCCUGUUCGAGCGUCAUAUUAACCACUCCCGCUUGCGGGGUCUUGGGCUUCGCCUCCGGGCGGGCCUUAAAAUCAGUGGCGGUGCCGUCGGGCUCUACGCGUAGUAAAUUUUCUCGCGAUAGGGUCCCGGUGGAUGCUUGCCAACAACCCCCAACUUCUUAAGGUUGACCUCGGAUCAGGUAGGGAUACCCGCUAAACUUAAGCAUAUCAAUAGCGGAGGA